AUGGAAGUGAUGACAAGCUGUAUCUUGAUUGUCUGUGAUGUUCAAGUAUUCAUACUGUCUGAUCCAC